ensembl:lncRNA
CUCUUUUCUCCACUGAGUUUCCUCACUGAGCUAUCCUCAUUCUAUUACUCUUUAUAUCUUUGAUAAAUAUUUAAAUAAAUAGGUCGCCUAUGCCAUCUCUCCUUCGAAUACCCUGGAUCAGCCGGGGCUAGACCCCGGCACAGCGCUCUCUGUAUUUGACUCUGCUUUGCCUGAUUUCAUCGUCCAGAAUGCUAAACUGCUAUCUACCUAAUCUUCAAGGCAUGUCUCUCCCUGAAAAAUACUGCUGUCUUUACUUACCUCUCAAAUGCUCAUUAUCCAACAAUACGUGUACUUCAACGCUAAAAUAUUUGGACAUCAUUCUCCAUUCUGCCACUGUUUCUUGUAGAUCAUCUUAGCUCUUUACACCUUUGAUUUUUUUUUUAAUGUGCGUUUGCUUCCUUAAAGUACCUGUGAUUCCCCCAUCACUCCUUACAGCCUUCCUUAUUAUCAUCUAUUGCCCUCCCCAUCAUUUCUCAAGAUCCACGGAGGACUCUGCAAGUUGAGAUAAUUCAGUAUCAGUGUCAACUAUCAGCUAAGAGGGAAUCAGGAGUUUCCCAACCCAAGACUUGUGCUACAGCGUUUGUUAGACAGAACCAUCAGCUCUGCUGCACAAAAGCUCUUGAGUGAUCAAGCCUGGUCCCUGGUCCCAGAGCUAAAUCUUCAGAGAUCACGAAUCCGACAUCAUUCACAGUUCCAUAAACUGUAUAGCAACCAAGUUCCCUCUCCUAGGCUCCAAGCUGCCCAGCCUCCCACCUGUAGACUCAAAACACCACCAGGUUUGGAGACUCAUGGCAGCCCACUCCAGUCCUCUUGCCUGGAAAAUCCCACGGACGAAGGAGCCUGGCGGGUUACAGUCCCUGGGGUCGCAGAGAGUCGGACAGGACUGAGCGACUUCACUUUCACUUUCCGAGACUCAUGCCAAAACGUCCGCACGGAACCCUUCUCUCAGAACUGCAUCGCGCCUGAUUUCCUGCCGGUGCCAUGUUCCUCUGUGACUUUGAUGGCAUCCCUCCCUUCCUUUCCUCGGGGCACGGAGCGAUCUCCGAGCUCUAUUAGCCCAGCACCAAGUGCAGGUCAGUACUACCUGCAAUCAUCCCCCGGCACCGACCACCUGCCGGCUUGGACGCUCACUGCCUGCCUGCUGCCAGUUUGAGAGCCCUCAGCCACCAGCCAGGACAUCUGUCCCCAGACCACUGCCAGGCCUCCCAGCUACCAGCCACCCGCCCGCAGGCCCGCCUCACACGCUCGCUGGGUGGAAGCCAAGCGGUCCUCUGCUGCCCACCCGCGGGUCCUGCAGCACCAGCCGAAACCAGACCUGAACGCGGAUGUGAGCCCUGAAUCAACACAGGGACAGGAUGGCUCUCAUUAUUUCUGAAAUGAGUGCAUUGUUUUCUGUACUUGAAUGCGCUGUCUUAAUACCUAUAUUUACUCUAUUUUGUAGCUCACUUUUUAUUAUCUAAUUUGUUCGUCAACUGGCCUUUCUCUGGAGGUAAAGCACAUAUUCAGGAAAGUGCACAACACAUAACUAUGUAUCAUCACAUAGCAAGCAUAUCCAAGCAAGCGGUUUCCAGGUGAAGAAAUAAGACACCGUUCACCCCGGAGGUUCCCUCAGGCCCCUUUCCAAUCACUACUCUUUAAUCCUCAUCCAAGGCAACUUCUAUCCUGACUUCUAAACCCACAGUCCCCUUUUGCCUUUUUUUAAAUUUUAUAGAAGGGGAAUAAGACAUUAUAUAUUCUCUUUAGUCUGCCUUUUUUAUUCUAUAUUUAUUAGAUUAAGCCAUGUUUACUUCCGUGGCUGUGAUUCAUUUGUAUUAUUAUUUUAAAAAGUCCAUUGUAUGAACCUACCAUUAUUCAUAUAUUCAUUUUACUCAUGAUGACUAUUUGGGCUUUUUCUUGGUUUGGGCUGUAACUAAUAAUACUGCUUUGACUAUACUUGGGCAUGUCAUUUACAACACAUAUGCUUGUGCUGCUGUUGGGAAAAUACUGAUUGAGUUAUAGGGCACACAUACCUCCAACUUUAGGACACAAAUACCAAACUAUCUUCAAAGCAGUUGAACUAACUUGCAUGCCUCCUGACAGUGUGUGAGGAUCCCUGUCACUGCACAUCAUCAUUAAUGCUUGAUAUUUUUUAACUGUUUUCAAUUGAGGGUACUAUUAUCUCAUGGCUUAGUUUGUAGGAACAAGAAGUAUUCACUUUAAUGUAGUCCAAUUUAUUAUAUUUCCCUUUUUAAUUGCUCAUUUUGCUGUCCUGUUUAAGAAAUCUUUCCUCAUCUCAAGGCUAUAAACAUAGUUUCCUAUAAUAUAUUAAAGAACCGCACUGUGCAUUACUAUAGUCACUAGGUACACGUGGCUACUGAAAUUUAAAUUUAUAUCAACUAAAAUUUUUAAGACAUAAAAAUUCAGUUUUUCAUUCACAUUAGCAACAUGUCAAGGGCUCAACAAGCCCAUGAGUCUAGUGGCUACUGUAAAGGACAGCAUGGUUACAGAAUAUUUCUGACAUCAUGUAAAGUUCCACUGAGUGUAAAGUUCUCUUCUAGCAGCUUUACUGACUAUCGUUUUACUUUUUCAUAUUUAUGCCC